rnacentral:rRNA from 1 species
UACAGAGGGGGCAAGCGUUGUUCGGAAUUACUGGGCGUAAAGGGCGCGUAGGCGGCCUGUUAAGUCGAACGUGAAAUCCCCGGGCUCAACCCGGGAACUGCGUCCGAUACUGGCAGGCUUGAAUCCGGGAGAGGGAUGCGGAAUUCCAGGUGUAGCGGUGAAAUGCGUAGAUAUCUGGAGGAACACCGGUGGCGAAGGCGGCAUCCUGGACCGGUAUUGACGCUGAGGAGCGAAAGCGUGGGGAGCGAACAGG